CCGACCAUAGCUCAGCUGGAAGAGCACAAGACUGUAAUUGGUGUACUGAAUAUAUCUUGGGGUCGCCUGUUCGAGCCAGGCUGGUCGGA
rnacentral:tRNA from 1 species